rnacentral:rRNA from 1 species
UACGGAGGAUCCGAGCGUUAUCCGGAUUUAUUGGGUUUAAAGGGUGCGCAGGCGGGAGAUUAAGUCGGCGGUGAAAUUUUGCAGCUCAACUGUAAAAGUGCCUUCGAAACUGGUUUUCUUGAGUGUAGAUGAAGUAGGCGGAAUUUGUGGUGUAGCGGUGAAAUGCAUAGAUAUCACGAGGAACUCCGAUUGCGCAGGCAGCUUACUAGGCCAUAACUGACGCUCAGGCACGAAGGCGUGGGGAUCAAACAGGAUUAGAUACU